rnacentral:rRNA from 1 species
UAACAAGGAUUCCCCUAGUAACUGCGAGUGAAGCGGGAAAAGCUCAAAUUUAAAAUCUGGCGGUCUUGUGGCCGGCCGAGUUGUAGUCUGGAGAAGUGUUAUCCGCGUCGGACCGUGUACAAGUCUCCUGGAAUGGAGCGUCAUAGAGGGUGAGAAUCCCGUCCAUGACACGGACGACCGAUGCUAUGUGAGGCACUCUCAAAGAGUCGAGUUGUUUGGGAAUGCAGCUCAAAAUGGGUGGUAAAUUCCAUCUAAAGCUAAAUAUUGGCGAGAGACCGAUAGCGAACAAGUACCGUGAGGGAAAGAUGAAAAGCACUUUGGAAAGAGAGUUAAACAGUACGUGAAAUUGUUGAAAGGGAAACGCUUGAAGUCAGUCGCGUUCCGUGGAACUCAGCCUUGCUUCGGCCUGGUGUACUUUCUGCGGGACGGGUCAACAUCAGUUUUGGCCGGUGGAAAAAGGCAGAGGGAAUGUAGCGCCGUUUCGGCGGCGUGUUAUAGCCCUUUGUCGAAUACACUGGCUGGGACUGAGGACUGCAGCACGCCCUUGUGGCCGGGGGUUCGCCCCACGUAACGUGCUUAGGAUGUUGGCAUAAUGGCUUUAAGCGACCCGUCUUGAAACACGGACCAAGGAGUCUAACAUGCCUGCGAGUGUUCGGGUGGAAAACCCUUGCGCGUAAUGAAAGUGAAAGUUGGGAACCUCCGCAAGGGGGUGCACCGACGCCCGGCCCUGAAGUUCUCUGACGGUGCUGCGGUAGAGCAAGUAUGUUGGGACCCGAAAGAUGGUGAACUAUGCCUGAAUAGGGCGAAGCCAGAGGAAACUCUGGUGGAGGCUCGUAGCGAUUCUGACGUGCAAAUCGAUCGUCAAAUUUGGG